rnacentral:rRNA from 1 species
GCGCAGCAGUCGCGAAAACUCCGCAAUACGCGAAAGCGUGACGGGGCUACCCCGAGUGUCGUCCGCUGAGGACGACUUUUCCACGCUGUAAGGAGGCGUGGGAAUAAGGAGAGGGCAAGUCUGGUGUCAGCCGCCGCGGUAAUACCAGCUCUUCGAGUGGUAGGGAUGUUUAUUGGGCCUGAAGCAUCCGUAGCCGGCUGGACAAGUCCUCCGUUAAAUCCAGCGAUUCAAUCGUUGGAUUGCGAGGGAUACUGUUCGGCUAGGGGGUGAGAGAGGCCAACGGUAUUCCCGGGGUAGGGGUGAAAUCCUAUAAUCCUAGGGGGACCACCAGUGGCGAAGGCGUUCUGCGAGAACGGGCUCGACGGUGAGGGACGAAAGCCAGGGGCGCAAACGGGAUUAGAUACCCGGGAGUCC